AGAUAGAUAGAUACGACCUGAUUACAUUGGUUUUAGGGUUUUAAAUGUGAUAUAUAGAGUAGGUAAUUUAUCGAUUAUUUCUACUAGUGGGAGUAUUGUAUUUUUUUUUGUUCUUCCCUGGAAUCAUUCUUGAACAGUUCGGUCUAAGAUAAAACUUCUAAUCUAUCUAGCAGGUGUAGAUCAGGCCAGCAGUUCAAAAGGGAACUUCUCGCCACCUUCAUUACAAGUGAGUCUAUUCUACUUUAGGACAGCAGAACUCAAUAUCUUGAUUUUCUUCAGUCCUUUCUUUGUGGUCUAACAUCUUAUGCAUCGGUCACCAGGAUCGGAGAGGUGCUGUGGAUGCAAACAUGUUCCCUCCAGGGAUUUCCAGAUCAACUGCUCGGCAGAGGAACCCUGGAUUGAGAAGAACCUAUGACAUGGAGGGUUUGGUGGAGUUGUUAAACCGAGCUCAGUGCUGCAGUGCUGAUGAUCAACGAGGCCUCCUGAAGAAAGAACAUCUAAUGCUGCCUCAGUUCCUCCAGUUACCCUUGGAAGACGUGGAGGAAUCUGAGACAAUCAGGUCACUGGAGGACUCCUGCUCCAGUAUGGGAUCACUUGAAGUGGAUUCUCCUGCAGUACAAUCAAACACAUUAGGGAAGGAACAAUCAGAGAAUGAGUGCUCAAACCCAGCUAGAGAAACUGUGGUGUGAGCUAAACAGACUUGUUACAUCCUUUGCUUUAAUGAUCAGUCACACUGGAGCAUGACGAAUAGAGAAUAAUGUUUAAGGAAUAUGAACAUGACGGUCUUUAAUGAUGGACAAUUGUCAUUAGAAUUUUAUUUUAAUUUUUUUGAUAAAAGCAAUGCUAUGAAACAUUGUUUACAGUCGAUGUAAUUCUGCACAUGUUAAUGUCCCGCUGCUUGUAUUUAUUUCAAAAUGAUUUACAUAACAAAAAUACAUUCUAUCUGUUUUCAUAAAGUCAUUGCAUAUUGGCUUAAAGGUUCCACUGCAAUCAUUGGAAAUUGGUUUUGAUAAAAAUUUAUUGUGUAUAAUUUACUGUAUGUUAACAUUAGUAAAUGCGUUAGUUAUCAUGAGCAAACAGUUAUUAAUCUAGAUUCAUUUUAAUUUAUAAAUGUAUAAAUUUGCCUUUAAUAUUAAAAACAUUCGUUUAUGGAAAAAUUUACAUUAAUAUUUCAAGUGUUUAAUGACUUUAACAGUUUUCUUAAUGUACAGUAUUGUUUAUGGGUGAAACAGGAUAUUUUUAAAAACAAAGGACAGGACAUUUUUUUUCUUUUUUUUCUCUGUUGUGAUUUUUUUUCCUUGAUCGGAUCAUGAAAAGUAGGGUUUCAUUGAGUGAUUCCAUACAAGAAUGAGUGAGAUUUGGAGGCUCAAGUUCACCCUUGAGUGUGUCUAAUGUACCAAUGGUUCUUUUUAAAAUUGUAAUUAGGGGCCAAGCACCGAAAAUGAUAUAAGUUUCUGUUUGUUUUCUUAUUAUUCCUCCCAAAUGGGAGUCAAUAGCAGCUCUAUGAACAGUACAUAAGAAAAUUAUGGAAAAUGGACACAAUCCUUGGGCACCGCAGUGCAAAUGGCUGCCCACCGCUCCGGGUGUGUGUUCACGGUGUGUGUGUGUGUGUGUGUGUGUCUGUUCACUACUCACUGCUGUGUGUGUACACUUGGAUGGGAUAAAUGCAGAGCACAAGUAUGGUGUCCCAUACUCAGCUACACUUCAUGUCACUUUCACUUUCAUUUUUCACUUUCACAAUUAUAGUGAUGGUAAUGAAUAGUAAUAUGGCCAACUUUGGGGUCUCUAGGACAUACUCUAUAGUGCCACCACCAGUUAAAAAAUUUAAUUUUCCAAUGGUUAUAAGUUUUGAAGCCUUUGUUCUAGAAAUAGUUUUUUGGUACACCUGAUUACUCUCCUCAAGAUGAUCAAAUUCACUAUCUUACAUAAAGACUCUGCCAUUUUAAAAUGUACUGUACUGUACUGUUUUUUAUUUUAUUUUUUUACACUUCUUAAAAUUUGGUCGAAUUCUCAAUAGAUGAUCAUUAGACAGAGCCACAGUGAACUGAAUUUUGAUAUUACUUUUUGUUAAAAAGUUAUGAUGAUUUGUUAAUGAAUUAGAUGCUGUAUCUCUGCAAAACUUUGACCUAUCGAAACAAAACUCUUCACAUUUCAUUAGCAUCGUGAUCUGAGGGUCAUACGAUCAAAAAAUGGCUAUUUCUGUUCAUAACUUUUAAAAUGUUUGUCAGAAAAUUAUAAGCUUUGGUAGGGUCAUUGACGGCAUGUCCUGAAGGUACCAGAGAUAUUUACAGACCGUGCCACCUAGCCUUCAGAAGAUAUAAGGCUUUUUACAAAAACUUUUGAAAACUUUGUACAAAAUGUAAUUUGUGACAUUACAUUUCUUGAAUUAUGAUUCCAUUGAUCUCUAACAUGCCAUUUUCAAACAUUUUACUGGUCCACUGUUUUUAGGUAUACAGUAUGAAUUUUUUUUCUACUCCUACAAAUCUUUCCACUUUUGUCUAAAAUCAGUUCCUGUUUGGUGACGUUUCAGACAGUUCUGAGCAUAAAAUAACAGUCUUGCUUUGCAUUUCUAUUCUAUUGUGCCUUUGAAAUGAACACUGCAGUUCUUCAGAUUAUUUCCUGUGACAUGCUUGCUGUGCUUACUGUAAUUUCCGUGCUAGCUGUAUUUGUCGUAUCUGCUGUGCUUUCAGUGCCUGGCCCCGAAUUGCUGCUUGCAGCUAUAUUCUCCUUUUAUUACUGUAACUUUUACAACAAUAAAUUUAUCAUAUUUUUAUGCAUUGGUGUGCAGAAUAUAAUCUCACUUCCUUAACUAUAUAAUGGCAUUAACUGUCCCGAGAUAUAACAGCAAUUUUUGUGACAGCUUUAGCCUCUGUAAAUGGUACCGUGGGCAGCGGUCAUGCUUUGUUUAGCUCUGGGAUGUCCAAACCUGAUCCUGGAGGGCUACUGUCCUGGCGAGUUUAGCUUCCACCCUUAUUAAACACACAUGAACCAGCUAAUCAAGGACCUUCAUUAGAAACAUGUGAAUUGGAGCUGGUCGGAGCUAAAAUCUGUAGUAUGUUGGUCCUCCGUGAGCGAUUAUUUUGCGUCACUGCGAAAGGAUGACACGCAAAUCCGUGAAGCGCUCCAUCUUUUUUUUUUUUUUUUUGGAGGAGAUGACGACAGCCUUCACCGUGGCCCCUCCGUGAGUAGCAAGAAAUGGUGCAAGACCAGCUUGCGAAACUAAUGUCGCCAACCAGUCAUUAUCUAGCUGGCAGACCGAGGUACAAGAGACCGAAGGGACAUGGUGCGUCCAUGUCA
rnacentral:lncRNA from 1 species